CCUACGGGAGGCAGCAGUGGGGAAUUUUGGACAAUGGGGGCAACCCUGAUCCAGCCAUUCCGCGUGAGUGAAGAAGGCCUUCGGGUUGUAAAGCUCUUUCGCAAGGGAAGAAAACUUAUGAUCGAAUAAAUCAUGAGGUUGACGGUACCUUGAUAAGAAGCACCGGCUAACUACGUGCCAGCAGCCGCGGUAAUACGUAGGGUGCGAGCGUUAAUCGGAAUUACUGGGCGUAAAGCGUGCGCAGGCGGUUUUGUAAGUCGGAUGUGAAAUCCCCGGGCUCAACCUGGGAACUGCGUUCGAAACUGCAAGGCUAGAGUGUGUCAGAGGGGGGUAGAAUUCCACGUGUAGCAGUGAAAUGCGUAGAGAUGUGGAGGAAUACCAAUGGCGAAGGCAGCCCCCUGGGAUAACACUGACGCUCAUGCACGAAAGCGUGGGGAGCAAACAGGAUUAGAUACCCUGGUAGUCCACGCCCUAAACGAUGUCAACUAGUUGUUGGUAGAGUAAAAUCUAUGAGUAACGUAGCUAACGCGUGAAGUUGACCGCCUGGGGGAGGUACGGUCGCGAGAUAAACGUACGAAGAAGUAGACGCGUGAGACGNGCGACGGACGACGACGAGGGAGGAGG
rnacentral:rRNA from 1 species